UACAGAGGUCCCAAGCGUUGUUCGGAUUCACUGGGCGUAAAGGGUGCGUAGGUGGCGAGGUAAGUCGGAUGUGAAAGCUCGGAGCUCAACUCCGAAAUGGCAUUGGAAACUACCUUGCUCGAGGGUUGGAGGGGGGACUGGAAUUCCUGGUGUAGCGGUGAAAUGCGCAGAUAUCAGGAAGAACACCAAUUGCGAAGGCAGCUCGCUGGGACGUUACUGACGCUGAGACGCGAAAGCGUGGGGAGCAAACAGG
rnacentral:rRNA from 1 species